rnacentral:lncRNA from 1 species
CUUUACCGUAUACGUGGUUGACAAAGAAAGGGGAAGAUGGAGACUCCGUGUUGAACAGGCCUGGCCCCCAGUGUUGAAGAGCAGGCAAAAUGAAGCCAGUCCAAAUGCAUAAGCCCAGCGUACAGACUCAUCUUUUCCGGUGAAUUAUCCCUAAUAGCAUAGAGGAUUUGUGAAGGGAGCAUAGAGCAGAGAUCUCAGAGGAAGCCACCAUGCACAGACAGACAAGAAGACUCCACCCCUGAGAAGAAGAGUGAAACACCAGAGGCUCCAAAGGAACCCAGUGACAGAGCAGGGGCUAAGGGCCAGUACACGGUGUAUUUGCAUUUACCCCAGG